rnacentral:tRNA from 1 species
CAAAAAGUAGCUUAAACAAAGCAUCUGGCCUACACCCUGAAGACAUUACCCAAUCUUUUUGA